rnacentral:rRNA from 1 species
UAGGGAGCGAGCGUUGUCCGGAAUUACUGGGUGUAAAGGGAGCGUAGGCGGGAUGGCAAGUUGGGUGUUAAAUCUACCGGCUCAACCGGUAGCCGCACUCAAAACUGCCGUUCUUGAGUGAAGUAGAGGCAGGCGGAAUUCCUAGUGUAGCGGUGAAAUGCGUAGAUAUUAGGAGGAACACCAGUGGCGAAGGCGGCCUGCUGGGCUUUUACUGACGCUGAGGCUCGAAAGUGUGGGGAGCAAA